rnacentral:rRNA from 1 species
GAUGAACGCUGGCGGCGUGCCUAAUACAUGCAAGUCGAGCGAACAGACGAGGAGCUUGCUCCUCUGACGUUAGCGGCGGACGGGUGAGUAACACGUGGAUAACCUACCUAUAAGACUGGGAUAACUUCGGGAAACCGGAGCUAAUACCGGAUAAUAUAUUGAACCGCAUGGUUCAAUAGUGAAAGACGGUUUUGCUGUCACUUAUAGAUGGAUCCGCGCCGCAUUAGCUAGUUGGUAAGGUAACGGCUUACCAAGGCAACGAUGCGUAGCCGACCUGAGAGGGUGAUCGGCCACACUGGAACUGAGACACGGUCCAGACUCCUACGGGAGGCAGCAGUAGGGAAUCUUCCGCAAUGGGCGAAAGCCUGACGGAGCAACGCCGCGUGAGUGAUGAAGGUCCUCGGAUCGUAAAACUCUGUUAUUAGGGAAGAACAAAUGUGUAAGUAACUAUGCACGUCUUGACGGUACCCAAUCAGAAAGCCACGGCUAACUACGUG